rnacentral:rRNA from 1 species
UGGGGAAUAUUGCACAAUGGGCGCAAGCCUGAUGCAGCCAUGCCGCGUGUGAAGAAGGCCUUCGGGUUGUAAAGCACUUUCAGCGAGGAGGAAGGUGGUGAACUUAAUACGUUCAUCAAUUGACGUUACUCGCAGAAGAAGCACCGGCUAACUCCGUGCCAGCAGCCGCGGUAAUACGGAGGGUGCAAGCGUCAAUCGGAAUUACUGGGCGUAAAGCGCACGCAGGCGGUUUGUUAAGUCAGAUGUGAAAUCCCCGGGCUCAACCUGGGAACUGCAUUUGAAACUGGCAAGCUAGAGUCUCGUAGAGGGGGGUAGAACUCCAGGUGUAGCGGUGAAAUACGUAGAGAUCUGGAGGAAUACCGGUGGCGAAGGCGGCCCCCUGGACGAAGACUGACGCUCAGGUGCGAAAGCGUGGGGAGCAAAACAGGAUUAGAUACCCUGGUAGUCCACGCUGUAAAACGAUGUCGAUUUUGGAGGUUGUGCCCUUGAGGCGUGGCUUCCGGAGCUAACGCGUUAAAUCGACCGCCUGGGGGAGUACGGCCGCAAGGUUAAAAACUCAAAGGAAAUUGACGGGGGUCAUAGCUG